AGUGAACGCUGGCGGUAUGCUUAACACAUGCAAGUCGAACGGCAGCACAGUAACUGCUUGCUCUUCCGGGUGGCGAGUCGCGUACGGGUCACGUAUAUAUCCGACUCUACUUUUUCGUGGGGGCUUACGUAGGGAAACUUACGCUUAUAUCGCAUACGUCCUCCUGGUGAAAUCAGGGGAUCUUUGGACCUUGCGCGAUUGACUGAGCCGAUGUCGGCUUAGCUAGUUGGCGGGGUAAAGGCCCACCAAGGCGAGGGUCCGUAGCUGGUCUGAGAGGAGGAUCAGCCACACUGGAACUGAGACACGGUCCAGACUCCUACGGGAGGCAGCAGUGGGGAAUAUUGGACAAUGGGCGCAAGCCUGAUCCAGCCAUACCGCGUGGGUGAAGAAGGCCUUCGGGUUGUAAAGCCCUUUUGUUGGGAAAGAAAAGCAGCAGGUUAAGACCCCGCUGUUCUGACGGUACCCAAAGAAUAAGCACCGGCUAACUUCGUG
rnacentral:rRNA from 1 species